AUUGAACGCUGGCGGCAGGCCUAACACAUGCAAGUCGAGCGGAUGACAGGAGCUUGCUCCUUGAUUCAGCGGCGGACGGGUGAGUAAUGCCUAGGAAUCUGCCUGGUAGUGGGGGACAACGUUUCGAAAGGAACGCUAAUACCGCAUACGUCCUACGGGAGAAAGCAGGGGACCUUCGGGCCUUGCGCUAUCAGAUGAGCCUAGGUCGGAUUAGCUAGUAGGUGAGGUAAUGGCUCACCUAGGCGACGAUCCGUAACUGGUCUGAGAGGAUGAUCAGUAACACUGGAACUGAGACACGGUCCAGACUCCUACGGGAGGCAGCAGUGGGGAAUAUUGGACAAUGGGCGAAAGCCUGAUCCAGCCAUGCCGCGUGUGUGAAGAAGGUCUUCGGAUUGUAAAGCACUUUAAGUUGGGAGGAAGGGCAGUAAGUUAAUACCUUGCUGUUUUGACGUUACCGACAGAAUAAGCACCGGCUAACUCUGUGCCAGCCGCCGCAGUAACAC
rnacentral:rRNA from 1 species